AUUUACCGCUUGAGAGAUAGAGCUUUCCCUUCGGGGACAAAGUGACAGGUGGUGCAUGGUUGUCGUCAGCUCGUGUCGUGAGAUGUUGGGUUAAGUCCCGCAACGAGCGCAACCCUUAUUGUUAGUUGCCAUCAUUUAGUUGGGCACUCUAGCGAGACUGCCGGUGACAAACCGGAGGAAGGUGGGGAUGACGUCAAAUCAUCAUGCCCCUUAUGACCUGGGCUACACACGUGCUACAAUGGGAAGUACAACGAGUCGCUAGACCGCGAGGUCAUGCAAAUCUCUUAAAGCUUCUCUCAGUUCGGAUUGCAGGCUGCAACUCGCCUGCAUGAAGCCGGAAUCGCUAGUAAUCGCGGAUCAGCACGCCGCGGUGAAUACGUUCCCGGGCCUUGUACACACCGCCCGUCACACCACGAGAGUUUGUAACACCCGAAGUCGGUGAGGUAACCUUUUGGAGCCAGCCGCCCCUAAAAGGUGG
rnacentral:rRNA from 1 species